ACUCAAAGGAAUAGACGGGGACCCGCACAAGCAGUGGAGCAUGUGGUUUAAUUCGAUGGUAAACGAGGAACCUUACCUGGGCUCAACUACUAGCUGCAUAUCGUCAGAAAUGACUUUAGCCUUCGAGGGUGCUAGAUAGGUGCUGCAUGGUUGCCGUCAGCUCGUGCCGUGAGGUGUACCGUUAAGUCGGGAAACGAGCGCAACCCACGUCGUGUGUUAAAUUUACACGCGAGACUGCCCGCGCAAGCGGGAGGAAGGAGUGGACGACGUCAAAUCAGCAUGGCUCUUACGUCCAGGGCUACACACAUGCUACAAUGGCCAGUACAAUGGGUUGCCAAACCGCAAGGUGGAGCUAAUCCCAUCAAAACUGGUCUCAGUUCGGAUUGAAGGCUGCAACUCGCCUUCAUGAAGUUGGAAUUGCUAGUAAACGCGUAUCAGCCACGGCGCGUUGAAUACGUUCUCGGGUCUUGUACACACCGCCCGU
rnacentral:rRNA from 1 species